rnacentral:rRNA from 1 species
UGGGGAAUAUUGCACAAUGGGCGCAAGCCUGAUGCAGCCAUGCCGCGUGUAUGAAGAAGGCCUUCGGGUUGUAAAGUACUUUCAGCGGGGAGGAAGGGAGUAAAGUUAAUACCUUUGCUCAUUGACGUUACCCGCAGAAGAAGCACCGGCUAACUCCGUGCCAGCAGCCGCGGUAAUACGGAGGGUGCAAGCGUUAAUCUGAAUUACUGGGCGUAAAGCGCACGCAGGCGGUUUGUUAAGUAAGAUGUGAAAUCCCCGGGCUCAACCUGGGAACUGCAUCUGAUACUGGCAAGCUUGAGUCUAGUAGAGGGGGGUAGAAUUCCAGGUGUAGCGGUGAAAUGCGUAGAGAUCUGGAGGAAUACCGGUGGCGAAGGCGGCCCCCUGGACGAAGACUGACGCUCAGGUGCGAAAGCGUGGGGAGCAAACAGG